GCACUGUUGAGGUGUCCCACAAUAGGACGAAACGGCCUUCCAGUGC
rnacentral:hammerhead_ribozyme from 1 species